GAGGGUAGAGCUCAGUGGUAGAGUGAGUGCUUAGCAUGCACAAGGUCCUGGGUUCAAUCCCCAGCCCCUCCA
rnacentral:tRNA from 1 species